UGUGAAAGAAUGAGGGAGUGCAAUUCAAAAACUGGCUUCCAAAGUUUCCAAAGCUGACGGGUGGAUCCUUGUUGUCAUUCGUUCGAAAUUCGGUGAAAUGAAACAACCGGGCGAGACACUUAGCAAGGAUAACGGCGCCGCAGGAUACAAGGAGAACGACCGCCGGACUUGGACGAUCUAUCCGUCCGUCUCGAAUUAGAGACGCGAACGACCGGCCGCGAAAUUCCCGUGGUGGCCUCGCGUGGAGCGCGUUUGCGCCCUGUAAUUUAUGACGGUCUAUUCGAGAAGGGGACGGGAGGGGGGAGGAAAUUAGACGGCCGGGCCACGAUCAAGACACCGGGCAAGAGGGCGAGAGGACGACGAUGUUCUCGCCAGGAUCGUGGAAAUCUCGCCUGGAGAAAAAGCCUGGACGGUCUGUGACAGUGGAAAAUGGGAUUUCGAUCGUUCGUACGGGGACAGCGCGGGGACAACGGUGCUGAGGAACAAGCAGCGCAGCGGCCAGCUGCGCUGGAUCGUAAAGUAGAAAGGGCCACGG